CUGGCUAGGACUUCCAGUACUAUGUUGAAAAGAAGUGGUGAGAAUGAACAUUUUUUUCUUGUUCCAGUUCUUAGAGAAAAGGCUUUCGACUUUUUCACAUUCAGUAUGAUGUUAGCUGUGGGUUUGUCGUAUGUGGCAUUUAUUAUGUUAAGACAUUGAACUUCACUUCCUCCUUGGAAGCUAGAUUUGGCCAUGUGAUUAGCUACAGUUAAUGUUUGUAAGUGGAAGCCUUAAAAGUUGAUGUGCAAUUUGCUACACUCCCUUCCCACUGCCAAAUGUUGGUGAAAACGUGUCAAGAUGAUGCCUCUGCCAGCUUGAGUCUUCAUACCCUUCUUCUGACUUGCUUUGGACAUGUAGUAUCAUGGAGAACUAGGAUUUCAAACUGGAUCAUUUUGAGGGUAAAAGGGACAACAGGCACAAUUUGACAAUGUAUGUUCAUCCUAGUGAAACUUGUAAUGUUAAGCCACUGAGACCUGGGGGUUGUUUUUUUACCGCAGCGUAACCUAGCCUAUCUUGAUUGAUAUAUAAAUGCAUGUAUAGAAAUGCUCAAUAACUCAUUCAUAGAAGUGCAACAAAUGACUCAUGUUGCACUAUAACUGUGUGAGGUUGGUAAGAAAAUGGAUUCUAACAUCUAGGCCUAAGGUGAGUCAGCUACAUGGACACUGACAAGUGAGUAACCUGCUGGGAUCAAGAGCUCUUGGCUUCCAAGUGAAGGCUCUUUUUCAGAUCUUUCCAAGGAAAUGUUACCAAGGAGCUACAUUCAGGACAAAAGCUGCUGACAUGAGAAAAGGGUUAGUAUAGCCCAGAAAGACUAGCCUCGGUCUUGUCUGUAUGACCGUAUAUGCUUAAGAGUAUGGCACCAAGUUUUUACCGUGGAGGAGCCUGAGCCAACCUACAGAAUGUUUGAUUUGACCAGCAGAGUAUUGUAGACAAAACAUGAAUUUGCAGCCCUUUCAGUUGAGGAAGCACUCUCAGCUUUGCCACUGCCCUUUGUUUCUUUCUGUCAUUUGAUCCUGCUCUUUUCCACUUCUUCACCUCAGUUGUAUUACCUGCCUGGCUUUUGAAGACAUUUGAGUUUGGACCUCUGCAGGGAACCAUUGUACCUGAGAUGGAAAGCACAGCAGCCCGCAUGGACAGAAACAGGGCACUUCACCUCUGCAGUGUUCCUUCCAUAACCCCAGUCUAAUCAUAAGCAAAAUAAUCAGACAAACCCAGAUUAGGAGACAUCCUACAGGAUACCUGGACAGCAUUCCUAAAGCCUGUCAGGGUCACAAAAAACAAGGAAAGACUGAAGACUGUCAUAGGCCAGAAGCAAAUGGAGAGACAUGGCAACUAAAUGCAAUGUAGUGUCCUGGAUCAGAUACUAGAAUAGUAAGUAACAGGUCAUCAAUAGGAACACUGGUGAAGUCUGAAGAAUGUCUGGAAUUUAGAUAACAGUUACGUACCAAUAAUGGGCUCUUAGUUUUGACAAAUGUACCAUGGUAAUGUAAGACAUUAACAAUGGGAGAAACUGGGUGAGGGGUAUACAGGAAUUCUCUUUGCUUAUAUGUGUGACUUUUCUGUAAAUCUAAAAUUAUUCCAACAUAAAAAAUUUAAAAAUCCUUCUUUGUAUAGCGAUGAAAAUGGAAUGAGCCCAUCCAGAACCCAUUUCUUCCCUUCUCUCCACAUUCCAGAUACUUGAGAUGCAGUAAUUCUUUGCUCACAUGUCUCCAGACCUACACAGGACUCUUCUACAUCUCCAUCUUCCACAUGGAGACUAUGCUACCAUUAUAAAUCUGUCUAGGCCCCUGUGGUCCCCAAAAGGAGGCUG
rnacentral:lncRNA from 10 species